CUAACUGCAUCCUCUCUGCUUUCCUUCCACCUCCUGCCACCACCAUCCCUGACCCCAUGUCCAGCCCGGCGCCUUCCCUCCCUGCAGCGCUCGUGAGAGCUCUGGAUGCUGGCAGACCUGCCUUGGUCCAUCGGACGGCCGUGCACUAUACAGCCGGCAGCAGGGCAGCACGACGGCUGAGACGGGGCUUAGCACCACGGAGCUGCGUGCAGAGGGGCUGGCCCUGUGCACAGGGCUCCUGGUCUGGCAUCAAGCGACCCGCCAGCCUGAUGACCAGGCAGACAAAACACAUCCACACGGUGCGAUCCAGCCCGAGCAAGGAUGAAGCCCUGACCCCUGCUCCGACGUGAUGACCCUGGAGGACGCUGCAUUCAGGGAGGGGCAGGCGCAGCCUGGCUAAGCCCAUGUGACCCACUUACAGAGGCGGAGACAAGACAUGAGGGUCACAGAGAGGUUAGGCGAUGGCCCAAGCCACACAGCUGUGCGUGGCAGAGCCAGGAUGUGAGUCCAGCAGCCCACACUCUCAGCGCCUCACUAAACCAGCUUUGCAAGACGGAGAUGGAUGGUGGCAUGACACCGCGAACGUACUUAAUGCCAAUGAGGAGAUAGAGGCUCCUGAGAUUCUGUCACUCAGAGAGCGGUCGACACAGCUGGGCCUGGAACCGGGCUCAGCCAGCUGACCGCUAAUCCCGUCUGGCCCAGGGCCCCUCUCGCUCCGCUGGACCUUAGGUCCAGGGCUGGGAGCCCAGGCAGAGACCUCACGUCCCCACCGAGAUGCUGGCGGAGGCCGGAACCUCAUUUGCUCCUUUUACCUUGAACACACGGGGGCUAAGGAAAUGCUCUUUGGUGGGAGGUGCGUCUGCUUCCCUGGGGAUCUGGCAGUGUUCAUCUGCAAAGGCAGACACACACCCCACCUCAUUUUCUGUCCCCGGAGAGUGGUGCAGGGCUUAUUAACCAGCCACGCCCCCAUCACAGGGGAGGAGACCGAGACUCAGGGUGGCUGGGAGAUGGAAGCAAGGCCACACGCUGGGCCCCUCGGCACGCCUGGCACCAAGUAGGCUGUUCCCUAAGUGUCUGUUAGGUGAAAUCUUAACUA